UACAGAGGGGGCAAGCGUUGUUCGGAAUUACUGGGCGUAAAGGGCGCGUAGGCGGCCUGCUAAGUCGAACGUGAAAUCCCCGGGCUCAACCCGGGAACUGCGUCCGAUACUGGCAGGCUUGAAUUCGGGAGAGGGAUGCGGAAUUCCAGGUGUAGCGGUGAAAUGCGUAGAUAUCUGGAGGAACACCGGUGGCGAAGGCGGCAUCCUGGACCGGCAUUGACGCUGAGGCGCGAAAGCCAGGGGAGCAAACGGG
rnacentral:rRNA from 1 species